GGUCGAUUAGCUCAGUUGGUAGAGCGCUCGCCUCACAUGCGAGAGGUCCCAGGUUCGAGUCCUGGAUCGACCACCU
rnacentral:tRNA from 1 species